rnacentral:rRNA from 1 species
CGCAUCUGUGCAUGCAGCAUAUCAAUAAGCGGAGGAAAAGAAACUAACAAGGAUUCCCCUAGUAACGGCGAGUGAAGCGGGAAGAGCUCAAAUUUGAAAUCUUAAAGGGUUUCCCUUUACGAAUUGUAGUUUAAAGAAGUGUUUUCUGUUGAGGUUUUGGUAAAAGUUCUUUGGAAUAGGACAUCAUAGAGGGUGAGAAUCCCGUAUUUGACCUUUACUUUCAACUUUGUGAUACACUUUCAAAGAGUCGGAUUGUUUGGGAAUGCAGUCCAAAAUGGGUGGUAAAUUUCAUCUAAAGCUAAAUAUUGGCGAGAGACCGAUAGCGAACAAGUACCGUGAGGGAAAGAUGAAAAGAACUUUGAAAAGAGAGUUAAACAGUACGUGAAAUUGUCAAAAGGGAAGCGUUUGACACCAGUGUUGUUUUUCUGAAAAUCAAUUAAAGAACUGUUUAUGCUAAGCUUGUUUAGACUUUAUCAGCUAUCUGUUUAGUUUUGAGCUUUUCUUUAAUGCACUUUUCAGUUAACAAGUCAACAUCAAUUUCUUUUGCUGUAAAAAAGCUUGAGGAAGGUGGCUUGAGAUUCGUCUUAAGUGUUUAUAGCCUCUUGCCUAUGCAGUCGGAGAGAUUGAGGUCUGCAGCGUAGAUCCUUCGGGGCUAAAUGCAUUUGUGCUAAGUUAUAGCAUUUUAUAGACAACUUGUUGACUAUGAUUUGUCUUGUAGCUUACUCGCUUAUGUUAUUUUACCUACGCUUAGGAUGUUGAAUCUGUGCGAGACUA